rnacentral:rRNA from 1 species
ACAGCAGUCGCCACGGUAAUACGGAGGAUGCGAGCGUUAUCCGGAAUUAUUGGGUUUAAAGGGUGCGUAGGUUGCAAGGGAAGUCAGGGGUGAAAAGCCAUAGCUUAACUAGGGUCUUGCCUUUGAAACUCUCUAGCUAGAGUGUAGUGGAGGUACGUGGAACGUGUGGUGUAGCGGUGAAAUGCAUAGAUAUCACACAGAACUCCGAUUGCGCAGGCAGCGUACUAUACUACAACUGACACUGAAGCACGAAAGCGUGGGUAUCAAACAGGAUUAGAUACCCGCGUAGUCCCUGUCUCUUAUAC